UGGAAGAAACAAGAAACGAAUCUCCAUAUUCUAAUGGGAAAGAUUGGAUCAGUAGCUUACCUAAUGAAAUAAUUCACCGCAUCAUGUCUUCUAAUGAUACCAGAGAUGUAGUCCGAACAUGUGUUUUGUCCAAAAGAUGGAUUUAUAUUUGGAAAUCUAUCCCAUAUCUAAGCUUCAAGAGAAGUUCAUUUCCUCCAGGCAAAGAACAUGAUCAAAAGUUCAUAAGUUUUGUCGACAUGGUAUUCAUUUUUCGCAAUAAAUCUGAUAUUCAGAGAUUUGCUAUAGAUUGGUAUAGAUAUACUAUAGAUGAAGAUAUUGUGAUGAAAACUGUUUGUAGAUGGAUUUUUCAAGCUGUUGAGCGCAAUGUUGAAGAAAUGAGUUUAACAAUCCGUCAAGGUCACCCGGAAGCACUUGAAAUUCCUUAUCAACUUGUUAAUUGCAAGUCACUGGUGCACUUGGAAAUGCAAAUGAAUUUUGGUUUCAGAUGUACAGAUGUUAUUUUACCAAAAUCAAUAGAUUUACCUCGGCUCAAAGUUUUGUGGAUUCAUGGAGUUUCGAUCCCCAAUGAAGAACUAUAUCUAAAAGGAUCUUUUUAAGUUGCCCAGUUCUUGAAAAGUUAUUCCUAUAUCAUUGUGACAUACCAAAUUUGACUGUUAAUUCUCUCGGCCUCGAGAAUUUCUUCUACAAGCGAUUACUUGGUAGUACAAACAAUGUUAUCAAGUUGACUACUCCAAAUCUAAAAUAUUUCGAGUGCACGUCUUGCGUGACACAAUUAUAUUCUCUAGAAAACUGUUCUCUUCUAUCCGAGGUAAAUUUUGAGUCGGGGCUCAAAGAAAGAGUUUUAGGUGAGAAUGCAGAAGCACAUUGUAAUUUUCUCUCACAGGAAGAAAUGGUAUAUGCUAAACAUAUGACGAAGUUUCUAAGAGAGGCUUGUAUGGUGAGAAAUAUGUGGUUAUCCUAUGGAUUCCUCGAGGUUCUCUAAGGAGCGCCUGACUUAUUAUUAGACUCUCAACCACCUUGCUUAUUAAAUCUGCGAUCUUUCUGGAUGAAAAUGCGGUCUACAAGAGGUUGCUUGCGGGCUAUAGCGUACUUUCUCAAUAUUUCUCCUCGGGUACAGAGUAUACUCCUUUACUCCAAGCAGUCAAAUUUAGUGGACGUCGGGGAUGAUUAGGAUGAAGGGUUGUCAUAGCAGGGGAUGUUGUCUCGCCUCACUGAUGUUUCUUUCUACAAUGUGGAAGGAUGUGAUGUUGAGCUCAAACUUCUGAGUUUUUUAUUAAAACAUGCUAAGGUUUUGAGCAAUGUUCGUCUGUCAUUCCGUGCUAGUACUUGCUCGCCGGAUGGAGUGAGACAAAUGGAACUAUUUUUAGAGAAGGUUAGAGCAUUUCCAAAAACAUCUUCAAGUGUGAAAAUAGUAUGUCUUCCUAGCCUUCACAGUACGUGACGAUGUACUUGAAUAAUCAAAAGACAAGAAUUUCAUUGCUAGAUCUAGUAGUUUGAGGUUUAUUCCUUUUUUUUUCCUUCUUCUAUGAAACAGAACGAUUGAAAUAAAUGGGCUAAAUUGUGUUUGGAAGGCA